UCUGGAGAGGGGAGAGGCACUAAGAAGUGUGCAGAGAGGUGCUCUGGAGAGGGGAGAGAGCCACUCUAGUGUGCACAGUUCUCUGGAGAGGGGAGAGAGCCACUGAGUAGUGUUCAAAGAUAUGCGCUGGAGAGGGGAGAGAGCCACUCAGAAGUGUGCAGAGAGAGGCUCUGGAGAGGGGAGAUAGCCUCUCCGAGGUCUGCAGGGAGAUCCUCUGGAGAGGGGAGAGCCACGAACACGUGUACAGAGAGAUGCUCUGGAGAGGGGAGAGCCACUCAGAAGUGUCCGGAGAGAUGCUCUGGAGAGGGGAGAGAGCCACUCCAAAGUGUGCGCAGAGGUUCUCUGGAGAGUGGAGAGACCCACUGAGUAGUGUGCAAAGACGUGCUAUGGAGAGAGGACAGCCACUCAGAAGUGUGCAGAGUGAUGCUCUGGAGAGGGGAGAGAGCCACUCAGAAGUGUGCAGAGAGAUGCUGUGGAGAGGGGAGAGCCACUCAGAAGUGUGCAGAGAGGUGCUCUGGAGAGGGGAGAGAGCCCCUCAGAAUUGUCCGCAGAGAUGCUCUGGAAAGGGGAGAGAGCCACUCAAAAGUGAGGAGAGAGGUGCUCUGGAGAGGGAGAGAGCCACUCAAAAGUGAGGAGAGAGGUGCUCUGGAGAGGGAGAGAGCCCCUCAGAAGUGUCUGGAGAGAUGAUCUGGAAAGGGGAGAGAGCCACUCAGAAGUGUGGAGAGAGGUGCUCUGGAGAGGGAGAGAGCCCCUCAGAAGUGUCCAGAGAGAUGAUCUGGAAAGGGGAGAGAGCCACUCAGAAGUGUGCAGAGAGAUGCGCUGGAGAGGGGACAGCCGCUCAGAAGUGUGCAGAGAAAUGCUCUUAAGAGGGGAGAGCCACUCGGAAGUGUGUAGAGAGAUGCUGUGCAGAGGGGAGAGGCACUAGGAAGUGUGCAGAGAGAUUCUCUGGAGAAGGGAGAGAGCUACUCAGAAGUGUGCGGACAGGUGCUCUGGAGAGGGGAGAGGUACUCAGAAGUGUGCAGAGAGUUGCCCUUGAGAGAGGAGAGCCACUCAGAAGUGUGCAGAGAGAUGCUCUGGAAAGGGGAGACAGCCACUCAGAGGUGUGCAGAGAGACUCUCUGGAGAGGCGAGAGAGCCACUGAGUAGUGUGCAAAGAUGAGCUCUGGAGAAGGGACAGCCACUCAGAAGUGUGCAGAGAGAUGCUCUGGAAGGAGGAGAGGGCCACUGAGAAGUGUGCAGAGAGGUGGUCUGGAGGGGUGACAGAGCCACUGAGCAGUGUGCAAAGUCCUGCUCUGGAGAGGUGACAGCCACUCAGAAGUGUGCACAGAGAUGCUCUGGAGACGGGCGAGCCACUUGACCUGUGCAGAGCGAUGAUCUGGAGAGGGGAGAGCCACUCAGAGGUGUGCAGAGAGAUGCUCUGGAGAGGGGAGAGAGCCACUCAGAAGUGAACAGAGACAUGCUGUUGAGAGGGGAGUGCCCCUCAGAAGUGUGCAGAGAGAUGCUCUGGAGAGGGGUGAGCCACUCAGAAUUGUGCAGAGCGGGCUUACCUGGUGGCACAGUGGUUGAGAGUCUGCCUGCUGAUGUAGGGGACACGGGUUCGUGCCCCGGUCUGGGAAGAUUCCACAUGCCGCGGAGCGACUGGGCCCGUGAGCCAUGGCCGCUGAGCCUGUGCGUCCUGAGUCUGUGCUCCACAACGGGAGAGGCCUCAAUAGUGAGAGGCCCGCGUACCACAAAAAAACAAAACAACAAAAAACAAAAUGAAAACAACUGCAAAAAAAAUGAAGUGUGGACAGAGAUGCUCUGGAGAGGGGAGAGAGCCACUCAGAGGUGCAGAGAGAUGCUCUGGAGAGGGGAGAGAGCCACUCAGAAGUGUGCAGAGAGGUGCUCGGGA